CCAAACCAGGAGAGAAGAGAAACCAAGGAAGAACAAACCCUAGGUGGGAAAAAUCAAAGAGAAAGUGUUGGAAUUCAAGGAUUUGAUCAAGCAAAGGUAAAAUUUCUUUGAUUUUGCUAGUGAUUUACCUUACCCAUGCAUUUUUUUUUUAAUUUCCAUGGUUGAAAAGCAUGCUUUCAUAGUGAAUUCAUGGCUGGUCAAAAUGGGUAUGGAGAAUGAAUGAUCUUCGAUUGGUUUGAUUUUUAGGUAUGUUAGUAUUUUUAGGUGAUUAAUGAUGUGUAGCAUGAAAAACAAGUGAAGAAAACCACCAAAGGUUUGGUGUCCAUCAAUAGUCGAAUUCUCUAAGUGAAUAAUGAGGAAGAAUGGGAUGUUAUUCUAGGUGAUUUGAUUAAGAAAUACUAGUUUUUGGUAUCGGAAUUAAUGAAUUAUGGAGAGAAAAUUAAGUAGAAAAAAUCACGGAGUUAGUGUACCAUUGUUGGCCGAAAGUUCCAAGAAAAAAAGUGAAGAUAAAUUUUACCUAAUUGUGUGUUAAUUAGUUUGUGUUUGGUGAAUUGAGGGAUUGGAAAAGAAAUGGAGCAAGUUGGAGUGAAAUUGGACGCAUUGGCCAAUUUAUCGGAUGAAAAAUCGACUUAGGCCAAUACCGGGUCUAGAUGGCUACCCGUGCAUUUUUCAUUUCAUAUCACGCAUAUAUAUUGAGCUUAAAAUAGCUUAUGACUGUUAGACACAAUUUAAUUGGAAUAUGUGUCAUGGAUUAUGGCUAGGUGGUGAGCCAUUGGAUACAGGUAAAGGACUGUACCCGCGAACUGAAAAUAGGAGUAUUUCUACUCCUAAUACUGUGAGUGGAUAAUUUAUCGUCUUAAAUAUCUAGAGUAAUUAUACGUGUUUGAUACUUUUAUUGAAUGGUGAAUUUAAAUUAUAAAAUAUUAUGUUUUCCAAUUAAAAUAUUGUUUUAUAAAAAAUGAGAUUUAUAUUAGUUUUCAAAUCAAAUAUUGUUUUGGGAAAAUUGAGUAUAUGGAGAUUGUGUUGAAAUUUAUGAUUUUAUAUGUUAUUGAAAUUGUGGCUUAUGACAUUAUGGUAGCAUGAUGGCUAAAUUUUUGGGGUUGGCAUGAAAUAUAUGAACAGUUUUGGAUUGGUCUCGGUAGACUGGAUUACAUUUUAUUCGCCAUAUUAUACUACUGAAAAUUUUAUGGGUCUCGUGGUAUAUUAAACGGUCAUUGCAGUGAUGGGGGUUUCCAUGGACUGCUUAUGAGAGGGGCACGGUAACCCAAUUAUAUAUUUACCUCCGGGGGAAGAUGUUGGAUGAAGUAUCUCUUGAGGUAAGAUUUGAGUGCACCUCACGUUCGGGCCACCACGUGAGAGUGAGACUCAGCCAACGUCAAGGAACGGUUGUGUGUCAUAUGCAAAAACAUGUUUAUGGGUAUGGGACAUUUAACAGCCUUGGUAGUCUCAGCGAGAUACCUUGACGAAGGUACCCGCGAGAAUGAUUCUGGCAAGGGCCAAGUUUAAGAAAUUCAUAAGCCCGAGAAAUUUUGAUGAAAAGAAAUUGUUUGGUAUAGAUUGAAACGAAUUUUGCAUUAUGAACAUUAUUGAGAUAUAACGUUUUUAUAUUGUCUCCAUCUACUCGGCUUUAGAUGCUUUUGAUGGUAAUUGUUUACUCACUGAGAUUAUGUAAUCUCACCCCUCUUCCUAUCCAUUUUUCAGGCUCAAGACAGUUUGUUGAUAGUUGAUUAAGCCGAGAAUUAAUCUUGGAGUUGCAUCCUAGAAAGUAAGGGUUCGUAGCCCUACACCUUCUUGGUCAGUUGGGGGCCCACGUGUCAUUGUAAAAGUAAUUUUGUACUUCAGUUAUCUGAUUUAAAGUAUGUAUGAACAUAUUUAGCUUUUACACCAUGUUUUUGGCCGGUUUCGGUAUUUUUGAAGAAAAAUGACAAAAAUGCCCUUGUGAGCUAAAAAAUAAUAUUUUAUUGUUUUGAUUUGAAAACGACUUAUGAUUUCUUGAAAUGCGAGAUUUAAUAACUGUCGCUCAUCGGGGAGAUGUGAAAGCUGAUGCUAAGCCUUGCGGAGUUUUGAUCGGCAUUCGGGAUAAUGAGUGUCUAUCGAGACGUCUCGGCGGUUGUCACUAGCCAUAUGGGAGUUUCAGGUCGCGACAGUUUUUGUGUGUUGUAAAUUCAUGAUUCUAAUUGAUUGGCUUAUGGAAAUAUUGGCAUGAAUGGUUGAUUUGAUAAAUGUGUUGGAAAUGUAUAAAUUGUUGAUUUGCCUUGAAAGGUUGUAAAAUAAAAUAAAAUAAUUGUCAUGUCAUGCUAUUGCAAAU
rnacentral:lncRNA from 1 species